rnacentral:rRNA from 2 species
UACGUAGGGAGCAAGCGUUGUCCGGAAUCAUUGGGCGUAAAGAGCGCGUAGGUGGCUGUAUAAGUCCGUUGUGAAAGUCAAAGGCUCAACCUUUGAAAGCCGAUGGAUACUGUAGAGCUAGAGUACGGAAGAGGCGAGUGGAAUUCCUGGUGUAGCGGUGGAAUGCGCAGAUAUCAGGAGGAACACCAAUAGCGAAGGCAGCUCGCUGGGACGUUACUGACACUGAGGCGCGAAAGCGUGGGGAGCGAACAGG